rnacentral:misc_RNA from 1 species
GGCAGCCUUACACUCUUGG